UACACAUUCAAUAUACAUUGGUAUGCAUACCAAUACAAAUGAAUAUACAUUGAAACUUCAUUUCAUUACCAGAGGAGCAGAAGAAUGAAGCUGAUUUUGGGGAACCACUAGAUGUCCUCGUACUUUUAAAAAAGAAGAGGCUCAUUGUAAGGUCUGAGUUCAUGGCCAGUUGCUUGCAUGAAUUGAACACUCCCUUCAGAACUGAACCAGAGCCACUCUCACCUCUCUUUCCCCUCCUUUAAGUUAACCUCUCACAUCUCUUGUCUGCAGAUGUUCUCAGCCCACUAAAUAACUACUGCCUACAGUGAAGGUUGUAACACUAAUUAGUUCUCUGUUCUUGCAGGUGGAAAGGUGGGAAGAUAUCUGAAAUGAACUAUAACAAGACUUUGUUUCAGGAUGACAUGCAGAGAAAACACGGAUGUGAGCUUCUAAUAGGACAACAGAGGGAGUGAGAGUGGUGGGUGAGUGUGACGCAAAGCGUGAAGAAAGAAAAACAGCACCUGCUCUGCAACUGCAGUCCCUGCAAUGUGACCCCUGAAUGUCAGCUGCUCAGCUUCUAAGUUACUAUAUUGGCAGGAGGACGAGUCAGCUCUCGACAGCAUGUAGCACCUCGUUCAUCACACUCUGUUGGAUCCUAGGGAUACCAGAACUAGUUGCACAAAAAUAGACAGCCAAAACAUCACCAUUUUUUUUUUUUCAAAAAACAUUCUACAUUAGUCACAUGCUAAUUUAAUGUCAGAUGAGUGUGUCUUUUUACUGGUACUGUAUCAGUAGACCUAAUGGUCCAUGAAAAAAAGAAUCUAGGAUUCUAUAAUGUACUUUCAUAUAGAGACUGUUCAUUGAGAUGUAUACAGCACUGCAGUUUUCAAAGGUGCAAGAUCUUUGGCAGCUAACCAAAUAGAAUUAUAAAGCUCUUGAAACAAAGUGUUUCCUUUUGAAAGCUAUUGACUUAAUCUCUGAAGCACCCAUAGUUCUAUUUUAGGGUGAGGAAAAGGAUCAGCUGAGGGAUCUGAAUUAGGAAAUAAAGGUAAUAACCCAGCCUCCCAACCGCUUCUCAGACGUCAGACGAUGGAAAGGACUCUAUAAAGGCUAUCCUCUUCAAGGGCUGUGCCCUGCUUUGUAAGCCACCUUGAAACCCAAGCUGCCUCAAAUAGCAACAUCUUUCAGCAGCAGGUCCUUGCUAAAGCAUUAGCUGCAACUCGAUCUGGUCCUCAAACAGAGCUUUGUUAUUGGGUAAAUAAAGGGCAGCUGGAGAGCUGAAGAAAUGAACAUCUGAGCCACCUACAGAGGGCACUAAAGGAGUGAGAAUUUAUACAGUGGUGUUUUGAAAUGCAACAGACUGACAGAAUCUACCUGGAAGCCAGCAUGCUGUGGGAUUCACUGUUGGAGAAUUGCUGUGCUCAGUGAGCCAUUAGCACCAUAACGAAGAUACAGAUCUGUCCCAUCCCUUUCUGCCUGAAUUCACCCAUAGUGGCGCAUCCCAGAGCAGGGCAUGCCAACACUGUCUCAGGUGACCAACACUAAAGAAUGAGAACAAUACAGGAAACCCAUACAACCCAGAAGAUGAAGUGGAAAAGAAAAGCAGUAUGUGUUAGAGUAAAAGGAGAAGAUGUUUGGAGUAAGGGAGCUACCUGGUGACCUAACUGCUCCUUCAGUUGAUUCUAACACAACACAGGAUGCCAAAUGCCUCUGACCUUGGAUUGAAAUAAACUCAGCCCAGUAUGGAAUGGUAACCCCCACUCCCCCUGCCUUCCUGCAUUCUCCCCUCUCCUCCCCCACCUGCAAACAGUCCCCUGGCACAUGCUCCUGAUCCAGUGUUUACAUGAUCACUUCCAUUGCGAUGGCAAUGCCUCCAGGACAAGAGUGAUGGAGUGAGCUCCUGCUGGUCAAAGACAUAAACAAAGGCACAGAUUCACAUACUGAUGUGCAUACACACACAUGCAUACAUGCAAAUACACACACAAAAAUAUAUGCACGUUAUGUAGUUCUGUGCACAAAGGUCCUGUAUUGGGUCCUGAAGGAAGGAUAUUUUGUGCAUAUGAUAAGACUUUAAUUUGAUAAGAGACAUACCCAGCAUCCUGUGCAUAAUAACACUGAAAACUGAACUCACAGGAAAAGCUGAGAUUCAGUUUCCUGUUAGUGAUGUGAGGGCACUUACUAAACUAAUAAAGAUCAAAAAUAAACAUCUUUUUUUUUAUUAAUUAUGAUCCUUAGAAUUUCCAUCCAAAUUUAUGUUAUAGUGGCAGUAGUGGGAGGUAGGGAGGCAAGCACGCUAAACACCACUCACUGCUUUUCUCCUUCACCUUGAUGAUGAGAGAUGACUGCAAGCUGGAUAAACGCUAAAAAAUUGCUUUAUUCCUACCACCAAUUAAGUGAUAAGGGGAGAAUGAGUCUAUAGAUUAUUUUCCUUGUUGACAUUUAAUGCUCAGAGCACUG